rnacentral:lncRNA from 1 species
GCAUUGACAGCUAUAGCCAGAUAGCGUUGACAGCUAUGGCUAGUUGGCACUUGUGUUUUGGUUCUGAGCUCGAUUAAUCAUUUUUCGAGGAGAGAUCAGAGAGUGUGGCAUGCUGACUAAGAAUUGGACCAAACCUUUUUCAUCCAAGAAUUUGGAUCCAGAACAUAUCGACGAGAGAUUGAACAGAAUAGCCUCCAACC